AAGAGCCUGAGCACUAUGAUCCUGCUAACGGCAGCUCUUAAUUUACUUCAAAGAGGCUUAAAACCGAACAGCAGCUUUUAGGAUAAACCUUUCAACAAGCACAAAUUUGGACAGUGGUGGUGUUUUAGAACCAGCUUUGACACCAGCAUUUACAUACAUCACUGAAUGGCAAAUGUUGUGUGAUUUGCAAAUGGAAGAAGUUGCUUUAUGGCUAUUCAUAAAUGACCUAUAUGUCUGAUUCACACAACAAAUAUGGAUCUUGAUUAUCUAAGAUGGUGGAGGAUAAUUUCCCACUGAAAGAAGAGAGUAAGGAAUUUAGCAGCUGUUUUUGUGGGAAGUAAAUGUAUUGGAAAUCUCAGCUGAGAGAUUACAGAGAAGAAAUCUGGUCACUGGCACUGGAGGAAAUGGAUUUAUCCCAGACAGUAUCAGCAGCAAAGAAAAACAACUAAAAGCCAACAGCAGAACAAUGAUGAAAAGCAAAAAAGCUGCAUGAAAAUGUACAAAAGGUCAUGUAUGGCAAUAAUAAAUAGUAAAGGUAAGUGUAA